GAACGCACCUUGCGCCCUUUGGCUAUUCUGAAGGGCAUGCCUGUUUGAGUAUCAUGAACACCUCAACUCUCAUGGCCUGCCAUGAUGAGCUUGGACUUUGGGGGUCUUGCCGGCGUACCGUCGGCUCCUCUCAAAUGAAUCAGCUUGCCAGUGUUUGGUGGCAUCACAGGUGUGAUAACUAUCUACGCUUGUGGUUUUCCACCAGGUAACCUUCAGUGAUGGAGGUUCGCUGGGGCUCACAAAUGUCUCUCCUCAGUGAGGACAGCUUUUUAAUGUUUGAUCUCAAAGCAGGUAGGACUACCCGCGGAACUUA
rnacentral:misc_RNA from 1 species